GGGGACCGACACUGAAAACUCGUGUUUACCAAUGGGAGGUUGGUCUUUGUGACCAUGUGCAUGAUGUCAUACUUUAUAUUCUUGGGAUGUAUUUAUCUCAUGUUCUUUUCUUCGGCUGUAUGACUAAUACGCACUGGGUCUUUUUCAGCAGGGGAGCUGAACCUAUAUAGCCCGUAGAUGAUUUUAGGAUGGCAGAGCCACACAACCCAGGUUAAGGUUUUAAAUAUAUGCCAAAAUUUGUUCCCUAUCCC
rnacentral:lncRNA from 1 species